rnacentral:rRNA from 1 species
GACGAACGCUGGCGGCGUGGAUUAGGCAUGCAAGUCGAACGGUAUCAUCCUUUCGGGGGUGAGAGAGUGGCGAACUGGUGAGUAACACGUAGGUUAUCUACCCUCAAGACGGGGACAACCCAGGGAAACUUGGGCUAAUACCGGAUGUGAGCAACUUUUAGUUGUUUGAAAGGUGGCGUAAGCUGUCGCUUGGGGAUGAGCCUGCGUCCUAUUAGUUAGUUGGUGAGGUAACGGCUCACCUAGGCAAUGAUAGGUAGGCGGCCUUAACGGGUGGUCGCCCACACUGGGAUUGAGAUACGGCCCAGACUCCUACGGGAGGCAGCAGUCGAGAAUAGUCUACAAUGGUCGGAAGACUGAUAGUGCGACGCCGCGUGAACGAUGAAUCCCUUCGGGGUGUAAAGUUCUUUUAUAUGUGAGCAGUGCUUCUUAUAUUAACAGUAUGGGGAAGAGAUAUUAGCAUAUGAAUAAGCAACGGCUAACUCCGUGCCAGCCAACCGCGGU